rnacentral:tRNA from 1 species
AGGGGUAUAGCUCAGUUGGUAGAGUGCUUAUCUAGCAUCUGUGAAGUCCUGGGUUCAACUCCCAGCCCUA